GUCGAGAAUCUUCCGCAAUGGGCGAAAGCCUGACGGAGCGACACCGCGUGCAGGACGAAGGCCUUCGGGUUGUAAACUGCUGUCACGCUAUAGGAACCCCAAUCCGUUAAUACCGGAUUGGUCGACUAAAGCGAGAGGAAGUGGCGGCUAACUCUGUGCCAGCAGCCGCGGUAAGACAGAGGCCACGAACGUUGUUCGGAAUUACUGGGCAUAAAGCGCACGUAGGCGGCUAGGUCCGUCCGAUGUGAAAUACCCCGGCUCAACCGGGGAACUGCAUCGGAUACAGCCUGGCUUGAGGAUGGUUGGGGUGAGUGGAACUCCUGGUGGAGCGGUGAAAUGCGUAGAUAUCAGGAGGAACACCGGUGGCGAAAGCGGCUCACUGGACCAUUACUGACGCUGAGGUGCGAAAGCUAGGGGAGCAAACGGGAUUAGAUACCCUGGUAGUCC
rnacentral:rRNA from 1 species